rnacentral:rRNA from 1 species
GACGAACGCUGGCGGCGUGCCUAAUACAUGCAAGUUGAGCGCUGAAGGUUGGUACUUGUACCAACUGGAUGAGCAGCGAACGGGUGAGUAACGCGUGGGGAAUCUGCCUUUGAGCGGGGGACAACAUUUGGAAACGAAUGCUAAUACCGCAUAAAAACUUUAAACACAAGUUUUAAGUUUGAAAGAUGCAAUUGCAUCACUCAAAGAUGAUCCCGCGUUGUAUUAGCUAGUUGGUGAGGUAAAGGCUCACCAAGGCGAUGAUACAUAGCCGACCUGAGAGGGUGAUCGGCCACAUUAGGACUGAGACACGGCCCAAACUCCUACGGGAGGCAGCAGUAGGGAAUCUUCGGCAAUGGACGAAAGUCUGACCGAGCAACGCCGCGUGAGUGAAGAAGGUUUUCGGAUCGUAAAACUCUGUUGGUAGAGAAGAACGUUGGUGAGAGUGGAAAGCUCAUCAAGUGACGGUAACUACCCAGAAAGGGACGGCUAACUACGUG